UACGGGGGGGGCAAGCGUUGUUCGGAAUUACUGGGCGUAAAGGGCUUGUAGGCGGCCAACUAAGUCAAACGUGAAAUCCCUCGGCUUAACCGGGGAACUGCGCUUGAUACUGGAUGGCUUGAGAUUGGGAGAGGGAUGCGGAAUUCCAGGUGUAGCGGUGAAAUGCGUAGAUAUCUGGAGGAACACCGGUGGCGAAGGCGGCAUCCUGGACCAAUACUGACGCUGAGGAGCGAAAGCCAGGGGAGCAAACGGG
rnacentral:rRNA from 1 species